CAGCCGCCGCGGGAACACGUAGGGGGCGAGCGUUGUCCGAAGUUACUGGGCGUAAAGCGCGCGUAGGCGGCUUCUUAAGUCUGAGGUGAAAGGUUCAACGCUUAACGUGAACAGUGCCUUGGAUACUGUAGAGCUGGAGUGCGGCGGAGGGGGAUGGAAUUCCGCGUGUAGCAGUGAAAUGCGUAGAUAUGCGGAGGAACACCGAUGGCGAAGGCAAUCCCCUGGGCCUGCACUGACGCUCAUGCACGAAAGCGUGGGGAGCAAACAGGAUUAGAUACCCCGGUAGUCCCUGUCUCUUAUA
rnacentral:rRNA from 1 species